ACUCACAAGGAUACACACUAGGAAGAUGUACCAAGAAGCCUCCCUGAGGCAGGGCAAAGGACUGGAGACUGGGGUGGGGGGGGGGGGUGUUCUGGGGCUCACCAAGGAAGGCCCAGGCACAUGAGGAGACUCCAGGAAGGACACAGAAAACUUGUAUGGGAUGAAAGGUUUGCAAAGCAGUUUCCAACCCCAAUCAAUAAGACACUGCAAGUACUAUAUUCUGAGCCUCAUCUGACAAAGCCUCAUUGUACUGAGGCUCCGGGGUACCCAGUGUCCUGAGUGCAACCCACAGAGCCUUCCACAUGUGGACAGAGUUUCUCCAGGAUGAAUGACAGCUCCCCUGCACUGAGGAUGUUGCUGUUUCAGGGAUAGGGGAAAGACGCAGAUGCAAAUAGAGAGGGAAAACCAAGACAGGCACAAAUGAAUUCAACUGAGCUGAGUUCUGGCAUCUUUUUAUAUGUUGUUCACUGUCCAAUUGUACUUCUCAGCAGUUUUAACUCCAAAGAGAAAACAGUCUUCCAGCAUCACGUCCCAGCACUGACCCAGUCCAACUAGCUUACCAUGUGCAAUAGUGAGGAUUGUCUGUGGAAACUGAGGAGGCUAAAAUCUUGUGAUGCUUGUUAUUUGGGAGAAAGAAAAAUGAAAGCAAGUACUAAGCCUACUGAAGCCGGGACAAAGCAUGUAUGCUUGUUGCAGACAAGUCCUCAAGGAGGCCCAGGAUCUGAGACCAUCCCAGGCAAGUCAUGGAAAACGGGGUCACCUUUCUCAAUGAACAAGAAAUAAAAGUUAUGGAGAGAUAACAACAACAACAAUAAACUGGCAAGAAAGAA